rnacentral:rRNA from 1 species
GUGGGGAAUAUUGGACAAUGGGCGAAAGCCUGAUCCAGCCAUGCCGCGCGUGUGAAGAAGGUCUUCGGAUUGUAAAGCACUUUAAGUUGGGAGGAAGGGCAGUAAGUUAAUACCUUGCUGUUUUGACGUUACCGACAGAAUAAGCACCGGCUAACUUCGUGCCAGCAGCCGCGGUAAUACGAAGGGUGCAAGCGUUAAUCGGAAUUACUGGGCGUAAAGCGCGCGUAGGUGGUUUUGUAAGUUGGAGGUGAAAUCCCCGGGCUCAACCUGGGAACUGCCUCCAAAAAUGCAUGACUAGAGUACGGUAGAGGGUAGUGGAAUUUCCUGUGUAGCGGUGAAAUGCGUAGAUAUAGGAAGGAACACCAGUGGCGAAGGCGACUACCUGGACUGAUACUGACACUGAGGUGCGAAAGCGUGGGGAGCAAACAGGAUUAGAUACCCCAGUAGUCC